rfam:Myotis lucifugus cont2.7605, whole genome shotgun sequence.
GAGACACCUUUAUGGAGCAGGACCUGCUUCAGUGGGCUUUGGUGCUCACUGAGUCUGCCCUUUGAGUGUGUUGCU